rnacentral:rRNA from 1 species
CAGCCGUAAACUAUGCGCGUUAGGUGUAUCGGUGACCACGAGUCACCGAGGUGCCGAAGGGAAACCGUGAAACGUGCCGCCUGGGAAGUACGGUCGCAAGGCUGAAACUUAAAGGAAUUGGCGGGGGUGCACCACAACGGGUGGAGCCUGCGGUUUAAUUGGACUCAACGCCGGGAAGCUCACCGGAUAAGACAGCGGAAUGAUUGCCGGGCUGAAGACUCUGCAUGACUAGCUGAGAGGAGGUGCAUGGCGUAGACGUCU